CCUGCCGGGGAAGUAUUCCGCCAGGAACGCCCCGACCGGCCCAUACACCAUCCCGACGUAGCAAACGAGGAUGAAGAUGAUGAAGAUCGCGACCGGAUAAUUGAUGUUGCCGGGCUGCGUAACCGUUCCCAGCCAAGAAUACAGCGGAUAGUACGUGAUCGCAGCGAGCAACAUGCCUCCCAGGAUCACCGGCUUGCGACCGAUCUGGUCUGACAGCCAGCCAAAGAAGAUCAAGCUCGGCGUUGCAAUGAGCAGCGCGGCUCCCACAAUGUAGGCCGAGGUCAGUGCGUCCACCUUGGACACCUGCUGCAGGAAGUACAGCGCCCAGAACUGGCCGCUGUACCAGACGACGCCUUGCCCGAUCAGCACGAUGGUGGCGAUCCCGACAUAUUUGAUGUUGGCGCUGAGGAAGGCUUCCCUCCAGGGAUUUCUGGUCAUCUGCCCCUUCGCCUUGAUCUCCGCGAAGAUCGGCGUCUCCUGGAGCUGGAGCCGGAUGUAAAUUGCGAUGGCCACCAGCAGGAAGGAUACCAGGAACGGAACGCGCCAGGCCCA
rnacentral:misc_RNA from 1 species